GGAUGGUUGUCCGAGCGGCCGAAGGAGCCGGUCUUGAAAACCGGUGUGCGGCGAUCCCGUACCGUGGGUUCGAAUCCCACACCAUCCG
rnacentral:tRNA from 1 species